CCUCCGCCGGCGACAAGAAGCGACGCUCCCGACCCCCUCCCUCCGGUGCUGAGGAUCCAAGCUCCGUCCCUCCAGCGACGGCGACGGACCGCGGCCGUCACCGUUCUCCUUCCCCGGAUCUCCCCUCCGCCUCCAAGCUCCGAUCCCCUCUGGCGACGGCGGCGGCAACGGUUUUGCAGACGUUACUAUCUCAUAUGAUCAAGGGCUUUUCAACUCACUAUAUGAGUUUGAUCUUGUUAUCUUUAAUCGGUCGUUGAGAAGAAAGCAAGAAAGUGCAGAUGAUCGCGCCGUGAUUUUGCCAUGUAAGGACCUGGAAAAUGAACCAAUGGUAGUUCUUGGAGGUUCUGUCAACAUCAAGAUGCGGUACCUGAUGUCCAUGCAGAGUGGAGAAAUGACUUGAGUAGGGCUAGUGAUCGCCUCCUUGUUGUUCAUCUAAUUUGAAAGUAUCUCUGCCUUGGACAUGGAAAGUGAUAAUUCAAUUUUCUUUUGUUGUGAACAAAUUUGAAUGAUGAUAGCACAUGAAAACGAUUUAGGCCAACAGUUGAUCUCAAUGAGAUGUGGACUGAUCGGUAUCUGAACCCUUGUGAACUGAUGGUUUUAUGUAUUUGUUUAUAUGAAUUGUGAGAUUUUAUGUAUUUGUUUUUUUAGAAAUUUGUGGAAUUCUUA